rnacentral:rRNA from 1 species
GAUGAACGCUGGCUACAGGCUUAACACAUGCAAGUCGAGGGGAAACGACGGGGAAGCUUGCUUCCCCGGGCGUCGACCGGCGCACGGGUGAGUAACGCGUAUCCAACCUGCCUCUGACUGAGGGAUAACCCGUCGAAAGUCGGCCUAAUACCUCAUGGUAUCGUCUGCGGGCAUCCAACGACGAUUAAAGAUUUCAUCGGUCAGGGAUGGGGAUGCGUCUGAUUAGCUUGUUGGCGGGGUAACGGCCCACCAAGGCUACGAUCAGUAGGGGUUCUGAGAGGGAGGUUCCCCACAUUGGAACUGAGACACGGUCCAAACUCCUACGGGAGGCAGCAGUGAGGAAUAUUGGUCAAUGGGCGAGAGCCUGAACCAGCCAAGUAGCGUGCAGGAAGACGGCCCUAUGGGUUGUAAACUGCUUUUAUGCGGGGAUAAAGUGAGGGACGUGUCCCUCAUUGCAGGUACCGCAUGAAUAAGGACCGGCUAAUUCCGUG